CGGUGCUUGAGGCUUUUUAUCUCAGGUAACUGGCAGUAACAGGUUGUGAGGGAUAAAAAGAAGAAAGCCCCGAAGGUAAUAUUAAUCACCAACGAGGCCCACUCUUAUGCCCAAGAAACAUCAGAGUAGCCUCUUACCCGCAGUAAUGCAAGGAGCAAGAGCGAUG
rnacentral:antisense_RNA from 1 species